UUGUCUAGAAGCCAUGUAGACUAGGUUGAC
rnacentral:piRNA from 1 species